rnacentral:rRNA from 1 species
AAUGCAGUGCCCGAACAGGGCGUUGUAAUUGGAAUGAGAACAAUUUAAAUCCCUUAUCGAUUAACAAUUAGAGGGCAAGUCUGGUGCCAGCAGCCGCGGUAAUUCCAGCUCUAAUAGCGUAUAUUAAAGUUGUUGCAGUUAAAAAGCUCGUAGUUGGAUUUCGGCGUGCGCUCAGGCUGGUCGGCCGUCAAGGUCUGUACCGUUUGGGUCACGCCCCACUGUAGGAUACUCACCGCUGUCCUUAACUGGGUGGCGGUCAAAGGGGGUGUGCAUGGGGGCAACUCUGUGCAUAUCUCUGGGGUUCCUACUCUUUUACUUUGAGCAAAUUAGAGUGUUCAAAGCAGGCAAUCGAGCCUUGAAUACUUCAGCAUGGGAUAAUGGAACAGGACUGGGGUCCUGAUUUCGUUGGUUUCUGGGAUCUCAGUAAUGAUUAAUAGGGAUAGUUGGGGGCAUUAGUAUUUAAUUGUCAGAGGUGAAAUUCUUGGAUUUAUGAAAGACUAACUUCUGCGAAAGCAUUUGCCAAGGAUGUUUUCAUUAAUCAAGAACGAAAGUUAGGGGAUCGAAGACGAUCAGAUACCGUCGUAGUCUUAACCAUAAACGAUGCCGACCAGCGAUUGGGAGACGUUACAUGGAUGACUCCCCCAGCAGCUUGCGAGAAAUCACAAGUCUUUGGGUUCCGGGGGGAGUAUGGUCGCAAGGCUGAAACUUAAAGGAAUUGACGGAAGGGCACCACCAGGAGUGGAGCCUGCGGCUUAAUUUGACCCAACACGGGGAAACUUACCAGGUCCAGACAUAGUAAGGAUUGACAGAUUUGAGAGCUCUUUCUUGAUUCUAUGGGUGGUGGUGCAUGGCCGUUCUUAGUUGGUGGAGUGAUUUGUCUGGUUAAUUCCGUUAACGAACGAGACCUUAACCUGCUAAAUAUGUCACUGGUAGACUUCUGCCAAAACAGGUGGGUGUCUAGGGGAAAGUUUCGAUGGACUCCGACGCAUUCAUCUGUGGAUGACUACCAGGAUGUACUUCUUAGAGGGACUAUCUGUAUCAAAGCAGAUGGAAGUUUGAGGCAAUAACAGGUCUGUGAUGCCCUCAGAUGUUCUGGGCCGCACGCGCGCUACACUGACAAGUUCAACGAGUUUAACACCUUGCUCGAUAGGGCUGGGUAAUCUUUGAAAAACUUGUCGUGAUGGGGAUAGAUCAUUGUAAUUAUUGGUCUUCAACGAGGAAUUCCUAGUAAGCGUGAGUCAUCAGCUCGCGUUGAUUACGUCCCUGCCCUUUGUACACACCGCCCGUCGCUCCUACCGAUUGAAUGAUCCGGUGAAAUGUUGGGAGCUGGGGUCUUUUGGCGGCGGGGCAACUCGUCGUCAGGGAUUCUGCAAACUUCAUUAAACCUUAUCAUUUAGA